UGCAAGUUGGAAGACGUUGCGGAUGGAAUAUGUACUUGGUGUACAAAGGUAUUGAUACUUUUUGGAAGGUUCUUCGGACUGAACGCAUUUGGUAGAAAACUAAUCCACACGGACGCGAGAGAUGUUUCUGAAUACGGCUGCAUUCUAUCUUGACUAGUAAUGGGAAGUGUAACAAAUAGGAUCGACUAAUUAUUCCGUCCGAAACACAGAUUCUUGAAUGGAGUACAAGAGAGUAUUAGAUGAAAAUCGUCCAGUGGUCCACCGCAAUUGAUAUGUUUAUUGAGUUUCAAUAAGUGAUGAUACAUCAGACCUUGCACGACAAUAUUGAACUUCUGUUCAUUCGACAUCAUUGACUGGUAGAAUAAAAUAGAUGUGUAGAGGCUCUAGGGUGGCAUAUAUCACGUGAUAAGAUUUUUAUGUACUUUCCAUUUCAACCGUUAGGUGUAAUUUCAACAAAUCCGUAAUGAA